rnacentral:tRNA from 1 species
AGAGUUGCAGCUCAGUGGUGGAGCACUUGCCUAACAUGCAGGAGGCCCUGGGUUAGAUUCCCUCCCUCUCAA